UCUGAAAAAGUAUUGUGUCCCUGUGUAAGUGUUGACUCAACUUGCACAUGUGAUUUUUUAACACUCCCCGGACUUCUGCAAAAAACAAUUAUUCAGUUCACUGAUUAAGAUGGAAGGGCAAGAACAUGAAAGAUAAAGGAGAAACUAUAAACAGAAGAAAUUAUCAACAAAAUAAGAUUUACAGAGGUCAACAAAGCCUAAAUGGUCAGACAUCUCAAUUUUCAUGGUCAUCAUUCACAGAUCAAUACUGAAUGGAAAACUUAAAUCUGAUAUUUUUCUCCAUGGUGCGACUUUUUUAUUAAUUUGAAAUGGAACAUGUUUUUUCCUACAUUUAUUUGAAAGAGGAAAUUUCAACAUGAUGACUAUAAACAAAAAGGAGUCAUAUCAUCACGAUCAUUGAUGCACAAGAACUUGUUCAUAUAAAUACAACAAUGUAAUUAUCAAUUGAAAGAUGGAACGAAUGAACAAGAUAUUAGAAUGUUGUUGUCCAAAUAAACUUGCUUUGUCUUCUCAUUUGAAUCUCUCCAUUCAAUAAAGAUGUACAGAGGAAGAUCUUUGAAGAACAGAUUGAAAAAAUAUUUUGUCUAAGAAUUGCAGGAAUAUUCUAGUGAAUGAAAUUAUUUAUUGACUUCACUCUUAUAUAGUGGACUGAAUAAUUGUACAUAGCAAGCUGUGAAUAAAGAAAGCAAAAACUUUAACAAAAAGUGUUUAUAUUAUAAAUUUGCAAAUAUAAGCAUACUAUUAUGUACACCACAAAGGUAUAUAUAAUUCAAAUUGUUUGCCUAUACAAGUAUUGCAAUGAACCUAUAACAAAGAAAAUCUUACCUCAUGAAAAGAGUGAACUAUUCAGUCAGAAUAUGAAAUAUUUUUUCAGUUCUAUUUUUCAUAAUAGAAUAAACAAGACAAAGAUUUCAAAACAAUAUUUUUUCAUUUAUUUAGAAAUUUCAUCAUUUUGUUUCAGUGAAAGAACUUUAUUCUUUGACUGUAAA